rnacentral:misc_RNA from 1 species
GAUGAAGAACGUAGCGAAAUGCGAUAAGUAGUGUGAAUUGCAGAAUUCCGUGAAUCAUCGAAUCUUUGAACGCACAUUGCGCCCCUUGGUAUCCCGAGGGGCAUGCCUGUUCGAGCGUCAUUUCACCACUCAAGCCUGGCUUGGUGUUGGGCGACGUCCUCUUUGGGGACGCGCCUCGAAACGCUCGGCGGCGUGGCACCGGCUUUAAGCGUAGCAGAAUCUUUCGCUUUGGAAGUCGGGGCCCCGUCUGCCGGAAGACCUGCUCGCAAGGUUGACCUCGGAUCAGGCAGGGAUACCCGCUGAACUUAAGCAUAUCAAUAAGCGGAGGA